AGUUAGAGCGGGAUGCGGGCGGAAAACCACACAUACUUUCCCUCGUCCCGCUCGUCAGGAGAA
rnacentral:sRNA from 1 species